AGAGUUUGAUCAUGGCUCAGGACGAACGCUGGCGGCGUGCUUAACACAUGCAAGUCGAGCGGUAAGGCCCCUUCGGGGGUACACGAGCGGCGAACGGGUGAGUAACACGUGAGCAACCUACCCUCAACUUUGGGAUAAGCCUCGGAAACGGGGUCUAAUACCGGAUAUGACUGCGGACUUCAUGGUUUGUGGUUGAAAGUUCUGGCGGUUGGGGAUGGGCUCGCGGCCUAUCAGCUUGUUGGUGGGGUAAUGGCCUACCAAGGCUUCGACGGGUAGCCGGCCUGAGAGGGCGACCGGCCACACUGGGACUGAGACACGGCCCAGACUCCUACGGGAGGCAGCAGUGGGGAAUAUUGCGCAAUGGACGAAAGUCUGACGCAGCAACGCCGCGUGAGGGAUGACGGCCUUCGGGUUGUAAACCUCUUUCAGCUCCGACGAAGCGCAAGUGACGGUAGGAGUAGAAGAAGGACCGGCCAACUACGUGCCAGCCGCCGCGGUAAUUC
rnacentral:rRNA from 1 species